UUUGCUCUUAAAGACAUAUGUUGCUGGUAAGCAGUGUAAAUAUGUCUUUAAAAAAUAUCUUUAUGACCAAAUUAACAUUAUGGCCAACUGUCCUCAAUUCACAACUUGGGUCUUUUAGGUGAAAAAACUGUAUUUGAAUUACAAAAAAUAAUUUUCUUCGCCCAAAUACAGUAAUGCAGAAUUACACAAAUUGAAUUGACCCGCCGGCCUACAUUUUUUUAACUCAGUAUAUAAAAAAAAUCCAACCUAAAUUCUGAGCUCCAUAUGAGCCAAAGGAUUUGGAAAAAGUCAACCAUGAUUUUAUUGUACCCGGCGUCGACUACUAGAUAGUUUUGUUAAGGAGCCUCAGCAUAUUUUCUCUUUUGCAACUGAUAAUAGUCCAGAAC